GCUUCUUGUUUGAGGUCGCUUCUUCCUUGUGAAGUGUACUUUCAUUUAAAAUAAAUCUGUGCUUUGGCUUGCCUUGCUUGUGUGCUUUGUUCAGUUCUUUGUUCUAAAGGCCAAGAACCUGGACAACUACCCUCAACCAGUAACAUGUUUUGGCAAGCCAGCCAGGAGACCAUCAAGCUUCAGAUGACCAGGCAACAAAGCUUCCAGCAAGUACCAAAUGAAGAUAAUACCCCUCGCCAUCAAGAAACUAUCCUGUUUCUACUAGACAGAGCAUGGAAAGAGUCCCAUGAUCCCCACUAGCUGCUUGGAAUAUGGACACUUGGCUGCAUCUCCAAGAAUCAUACUAGACCAUGAACUAGUCCUGAAUUUGGGAGAGGCUGUUGUGAUAUCCUGCAUGGACAAGGAAAUGAUGUUCAUCUAAUACACCCACUUGGGAACACUUUGAUGCAUUGGCUAUGAUUGUCUUUCUGUUUUCCCUACCCUCAUCUCUAGCCCUGUCCCAGUAUGAGAACAUGGAAACUCAUUUUGGAAAAUGUGAAAUGAGUGAUCCCCAAAAGUAGCCUUGCUCAUGAUUGGGUGAUUAUAUUAAGGGUGAUUUUUUUUCUUUAUUGUAUUUAGCUGUUUUCCAUUGUGUUUUUUGGCAACAAAUAUAAAAAGUUAUAGUUUUCUUAUUUUUAAAAGACAUGUUGCCUCAUAGAAGUAGAUAAUAUCAGAAAAUGACUUUUUUGUGUCCAAUGGCUCCAUCUGCCCCUAGUUAUUGUCCCUCAAAAGAGGGGCAUGUACGACUUGAAAUAGCCAAAUGAACUUGUCUCAUACAGUUGCAUCCAUUUUGGCUGACAGCAUAGAUAAAAAUUCUUUAUUUAUACGUGACAGUGGGCAGACAGAAAUAACUCCUUACUUUGUUUUCUAUAUUUUAAAGCAUUUUUUCAGAGAACUGUUUUCAGUAGCAAGUUGCCAUCAUGCAUUUAAAACAUUUGAUUCAGGGACAAAUGUUGAGGAGAUCACUUGCACAAAGGGAAUUAAGCUUGCUGGGUGUAGCAUGGGCUAGGGAUAAAAAAAACAGUUUAGAAAAGGAUGUGAUAUCACUCAUCUCUUUAGGAAAGCAUUUCUCUGUCUUAGAGUUAGAGCUCCAGGCAGAGGAAAUGGGAAGGCGGGGAAAACAUGGACAGGUUCCAAAGGAGAUGAUGGGUCAUAGAGAAUGAAUGAGUCAACUAGCAUCAGAGGGUGUGAGCGAGGGUUUGGGGGAGGGGGAAUAAUGGAAUCUAUGGGUUCUUUGAACCCCCUCACUCCCACACCCAUAUACACACACCAAGUUCUUGGGGGACAUGAGCAGUCCUUAAGUGUCCUGAAAGAGUGACUGUGUUCCCUAAGCAACCAAAUCACUCCAGAAACUGAUUUGGCUGGGAGAGUGUGACACAUCAAAGUUAGGGAGGUGACGAAAGUAUAAGAAUCACUCUAAUAGGAGAGCAUCGUCAAUUGUCAGCAUUUAGUUCUAUUUAGAAAGGAUUGGAAGGAAGGGAGAAGUCACUUCUUGAAGAGAAGACGCAAAAAGUUGAUGGCAUUUAGUCGUGCCAAAAGAAGUGCUUUGAAACAGUUCUAAAAUGCAAGCCUAAUUAGUUACUUUAAAGUAUCCCACAGGUCUCUCCAGAUCAUGUGUGUGAGGUAUUUGAAUUUUUCAGUGGUCACAGAUGAGAAGACUGUCACUUCUGCGAACGUCUAUUUCUGCACCCCAGGCAUCUAGCAUACUCACCUAUGUUCGCCCAAGUCUUUUAUCAUAGCUUGUUCAUCAUAUUUAUUAGGUUGGCAAAAAUGUAAUUGCAGUUUUUGCCAUUACUUUCAAUGGCAAAAAAAAAAAGGCAAAAACCACAAUUAUGUUUGCACCAACUUAAUAUAUUCCCAGCAUUAAAAUUUCUUGUAAUGUAUUUCAUGCUUGCUAUUCCAGGAAUCUUAAAAUUCUCUACUAGGAUUUCUUACUUAGUGUUUAAGUCCUUAAAUUAAACAAAUAGAAAUACUAUGUAAGACAUGUGCCAUAUACAGCAAAUAAAUCUCAUGAACCCACAUCAAACAGGUAAAUAAAAAUAUGAACUGAGUUUUGUUCAUAUUAAUAUUCAGUGUCCUUUUGACACUGCUUCUUCUGAAGCAAACCAAAAGUGCUUGGAAAUAAAACUAAAAGGUUGAUUUUACCAUCAUACAUCUAUAGCCUCCAGAGUGACCUAUUAAAUUAUAAAUGGGAUUAUGUUACUCCUACAAUUAGUACCUUCUGUAUGAGGAAACAACAACUUCAUUAUACCCAAAAGCUCCCGCAUGAUUUGGCCUCUGUCUGCUUGUCUAAACUAGGGUGUCAUCACACGCCUUGGUUAUACCAUCAAAAGUAUUGUUUGAAAGUAAAUCAGGUGGUCACUCAACUCCAACCUCACUUCUUUGCUCCUUCUAUUCUUUCACCAUACUUAGGCUACACUUGCCAUCUCUACGUUUCAGGAGGAGGCUAAAUUAUUUUAUAUUUUUGGAUCCCUGCCUAAGACAUCCCAUCUGCCUGAAGCACACUUCUUCCCCUGUUCAUCUGGUUAACAUUUAGGCACCUUUCAAGCCUGCUGAAACUUAACUUCUGCACACCCCAGUAUAGACCUGUGAGCCUCUUUAAUUACACUCUCCAUUGCACAUGUAAGAAUUUGUAGUCCUGUAUUUUCUUAUGUUUUUAUUUCUUUAAUAUUUGUCUUCACAAGUCUCUGAGGCAGAGACAGGACUGACACGCAACUGAUUCUCACUAUUAUGGCCUUUAAAGGUUGUUGUAUAUCUGUUUUGUUGACAACAGACACCUAGUACACAACACAGUACCUAAAACAUAGUAGACACUCAGCACGUUUGUUUAACAAAUGAGAGAAUGACCAUGGAUGCUCUCAUGGAAUCAAUUGUCGUGAAUUCAAUUAAUGCAGCCUUUACCAAACUCUUAUUCUGUGUAGAUCAUGAACACAAUGGCUUAAAAAUCAGCAGCACCAGUAUCUGCUGGAGCAUGACAGAAAGACAGAAUCUUGAGUCCAAACCUAAAUGACAAUCUGCUGUUUAAUGAGACACAUGGGAGGUUUCAAUUACACAUUAAAGUCUAAAUACUCACCUUAGCACACACUUAUCUAGUAAGCCUGGAAAAAUAAGAAGCUGAAUGGCCAUUCACACUCCUCACUUUUAAGAAACCUACAUGGCCUGCCAAAUGGGCCAAUUACUACUUUUAAUGGGAAUGAAAAAUGUUGGGAAUUUGCCAAUUUAUUCUAAACUUUUAAAAUGCUAUCCCUAGUUUUUCUUGAAGAUCAUAGAGCAAAAUAGAUAAGGCUGCUAGUCAUAAAGUUUCUGAUUUCCUGUCUUAGCAUAUUGUCCUAAUCUAAGAAAGAAUAGUCAUAAUUGGGGGUCUAAGCUAAAAUAAAAAUAAAGGUACACAGUAUUAAAAUUCUACAAUGAUUUUAAAAUAAGUACAAUUGUCUAACAAUAAAUUUGCCAUUAAAGUUAAAAUCACAGUAAUAUAUAAUAAACUCAUUCGCAUUGGUGACUCACACAUCAUUUAUGCAUGUUUUUAAAGUCCCAGUGGACUUUCACGCACAAAGAAAUUUUGCCUUUCACUUACUUCAACAGAGUCAAUUGAUUUCCUGUUAAUCAAGAUUUUAAAAUGUCAACUGAGGUUUACUUUGAAAUAAGUGAGGACAAUUUAGGAGGACUCAGGUCAAUAUCCAGAAUGCCAGUGGUGAUCAAAUGAACUUUGAUUCAUAGUGAAUAAUGUUACGAAUUCCAUAGCUGAUCAGGCAUUUUCAUUGACUUGGGAGCCUUAUUUAUCAGCAUGAAUGCCAUAAGGAGGUCAGAGAGAGCAAAUGCAGUGAUACAUGCAGAGACAUGUUUAAGUCUGGCAUUUAGCAUACCUGGUGGCUGCCAAAUAAAAAUCUUACAUAUUAGGCAACCUUUAUAUAUAUAUAUAUAUAUAUAUAUAUAUAGUUAUCACUGUACUCAUUAAAAUGUUUGACAUAGUAUUGAGAAAAUAAGUAAGGCACUAAUUUGUCUUUUAAGGCCCCAAACCCAGAACUUACAAACAAAGUACCAUAUAUGAAUUAAUAAAUUGAAUUUUCUAUUGCAGUAUUUAUUGAUGAAGUAGGCUGAUUUAGCUUACUUCCAUUAAAUUUUGUAAAGAUUCGUGAACAGAGAAGAACUAUUUUUUAAUGAAUAUGAAUUCAGGGCAUCCCCAGGUAUAGAUAAAAGUGUUCAAGGCUUCACAAAGGAAACAGAGACAGAGGCAGUACAGUGUGGAAGUUAAACCAUAAGCUUUAGAGUCAACAGAACUAGACACAAGUCCUGGUUCCCAUCAUUAGCAGUGAGCCUCAUCUAUAGAUUGGCAAUAAAAAUUAUCUCAGAAAGGCUUUAAAGGAUUAAAGCAAAUAACCAGAUAAUGCAUGAGAAUUACUGUUAACAAUAAAAAGAGAAUAAAGAAUGAAUAUUUUAAAAAUCAUUUAGCUUUCUGGAAACUUCAACAGCAUUCACAGUGGAAUAAAAUAGCCAUCGGAACGCUGCUCUUACCAGAGGUUAGUUUUGCAUAGUUCAUUCAUUCGGUUAAUGUGUCUUGAUUAAGAACCCGUACUACAUUGUGCUAAUUACUAGAGAAUAAAAAAACACACAAACAUCCUGUGAAAUGGAACUUAGAACUUAAUAGAGAUAAUACUUUUAAAAUAAUAAUUAUAUCAUCAAAACUAUAUGAUUUUAAUAAGUAUUAUGGAAGAAAAUCAAAAUGCUGUCUAUAAAUAUUUCAAGGAGAACUUCUUCAAAUAUCAAGGUCAAGAAAGGUUUCUGAGAAAAAGUGGUAUUUCAGCUAAGAUAUGAAGAAGGAGUGGGAGUUUGCCAAGGAAAGGGGUAGGGGAGUAGUCCAGGUACAGAUAAUACAGAUGUAGCUUUUAGGAUGGCAAAGGGUUGACAGUAUUGGAGGAGCUGAUCAGGCAAAGAUCAAAGUGAUGGGAGUUCAGGUGAAGCUAGACCAUGCAAACCCGUGGGUGUCUUUUAUCCCAGAUGCAAUGGGCUGCCAUCAAAGGGUUUUAAAAAGAUGAAUGAUGUAAUUGCAUCACCCUGACUUCUGUAUGGAGAAUGAAUUCGAAUGUGACAAUAGUGGAAGCAGAGAGACCAGUUUAUUAGGGAAUGUCUUAAAAUGUUAAAACAUAAAUUUACCUUUAGCACAUUCAUUCUGGAGGCAACAUUGCUGGAGCAUGGGCAAACUGGGGUUCUACAGGUUCACGUUUCAGAUCCUUUUCAUAUGAUUUAAUACAUGUGUUUGCUAAGAGAUUAUGUAAUAAUUGUGUAUGUUGGCUCAUUCACUUUCAACAAAUAUUUAUAAGGCAUUCUCACGUGCCAGUUACUGUACUAGACACUGGGAAUAAGGAAGAGAACAAAACACAUGAAUACAUUAUUCUAAUUGAUCGUACAUUUUAGUGGGGAAAAAUUAAACUAGUAAAUAAAUAUAUAAGAUAAACCUAUGAAGAAAAAUCCAAAUCCAAAUGAGGGCCCUAGUGAGUAAGAGAAGAUGAUACAAUUUGGGAAUGGUUAGGGAAGAUCUCUCAGAUAAGGUGAUUUUUGAGCAGAAAUGAAGAGUAAGCCAUUUAAAAUCUAGGCAGUGGGAACAUAAGUGCAAAGGCUCUGAAAUGAGCCUUGUAUUUAAUUUUUUCAAGAGUCAGCGAGGCCAGGCACAGUGGCCAGUGGCUCAUCCCUGUAGUCCCAGCACUUUGCAAGGCUGAGGCAGGCGGAUCACUUGAGGCCAGGAGUUUGAUACCAGCCCAGCCAACAUGGUGAAACCCCAUCUCUACUUAAAAAAAAAAAAAAAAUUAGCCAUGUGUGGUGGCAGGUACCUGUAAUCCCAGCUACUCGGUAGGCUGAGGCAGGAGAAUCACUUGAACCUGGGAGGCAGAGGUUGCAGUGAGCCAAGAUGGCACCAAGGCAAGGCAAGGCAAGGCAAGGCAAGGCAGGGCAAGGCAGGGCAAGGCAGGGCAAGGCAAGGCAAGGCAAGGCAAGGCAGGGCAAGGCAGGGCAAGGCAAGGCAAGGCAAGGCAGGUCAAGGCAAGGCAAGGCAGGUCAAAGCAAGGCAAGGCAGGUCAAGGCAAGGCAAGGCAAAGGAAAGAAAAGGAGUCAGCCUGGUCAAAAUUAAUGUGAUUCCAUCAUCACCAUCAUCAUCACCAUUCUUAUUCUCAUCAUCAUCACUACCCUCACCACCAUUAUAAUCACCAUUAUCACCAUUGCCACUGUCAUCAUCACCAUAGUCAUCAGUAUCACUACCACCAUCACCAUCAUCAUCACCAUGUAACUUUGGAAAAGUUUCUUAGAGGCUCCAUAAGGCAUAUUAUUGAUACAGCUCCAUCAGAGACAGUCAUGUUAGUCAGAAAGAGUCUAAAUAUUUUAGUAGUUCCAGUUUUUAUAGCACUUUCAUCUUAAAAAUUAUGAAAAAUGUCAUUUAAGGCAAAUAUUUUUAGUCUUUAGCCUGAGUUAAGAAUCAACUGAGACACUUAAUAAAAACAUCCAUUCCUGUGACAAGAUUUUGACUCAUUUGAUCUAGAGUGGAGCCCAGGAAUUCACAUGUGCAAGAAACACCCCAGGUGAUUACUGAUGCAAGUGGCCCAAGGACUAUACUUUGAAAAAAAUGCCAUUUUAAUGCCUUUAGUGAGUGAGGUCUUACAACUCUUAUAGUUUGUAAGCACUUCCCCCAUUGCACAUCUGUGCUUCAAUUCCAUAAUGGUGCUGUAAAAUAUUAUUCUCCAAAUGCAAAAUUCACAGACAAGUCAAAAAGGACCAACCUUAAUGAGAAACUAUCUAUAAUACCUGGAAAUUGAUGGACAAGUGAAACCAAUGAUGUCAAAUUCAUUGCCACUUGAAGUCUGAGACCAAUACUUAAUAAUUUUUCUUCCAUGUAACUUACUUUACUAACUGGCCUCAAUGACAAAAAAUCUUUUUCAACUAAUGUUACUUAAGGGGAAAUUCUUCAAACAGAUAUAUUUUAUAAGAAGCCUUAUAUCUGGAAUUCUUAGGGAAUAGUGUUAUGGUUAAUUAAGAUAUGCUAAACAUGAAUUACAUAAGUAUUGUUUAUUUUCAAGUAGUACUAGAGUAUACAAUAUGCUUAGUUUUAAAAUAAUGUUUUGCAAUGCUUCAGUAUUCCAGGGUUGUAAUAAUGAUUAAUAACUACCCUUGUACUGGAAAUUUUCAGAAGUGCCAAUUAGUAGAGAAUUCUGAAUAAUAAAAUGCUGAGUAAUAUAAAACAAAAUAACUAUUUAUCCCUUCAAAUGUUAAUAUUUGCAAUGCAGAAAUGUGCUUUCAAUAAAACUUAUCUUGCC
rnacentral:lncRNA from 1 species